GUAGCUCCGAGGUAGAGCACAUGCCUAGCAAGUAUGAGUCCCUGCCUGGGUUUGAUCCCCAGC
rnacentral:tRNA from 1 species